rnacentral:rRNA from 1 species
AGUGAACGCUGGCGGCAGGCCUAAUACAUGCAAGUCGAACGGCCGCACAGUAAGCUUUCGCCUCUACGGGUGGCGAGUGGCGGAUGAGUAAGGAAUACAUCGGCUUCUUCUUUUUCUUGGGUGACAACGUAGGACCACUUACGCUAACACCUCAUAUGACCUACCGGUGAAAGCAGUAGAUCUACGGAGCUUGCGUGUCUGUUUUAGACGAUGGCGCACUAGCUUGGUGGCGUGGUAAGGGCCCACCAAGGCAACGAUACGUAGCUGGUCUGAGAGGAUGAUCAGCCACACUGGAACUGAGACACGGUCCAGACUCCUACGGGAGGCAGCAGUGGGGAAUAUUGCGCAAUGGGCGCAAGCCUGAUCCAGCAAUGCCGCGUGAGUGAUGAAGGUCUUCGGGUUGUAAAACCCUUUUAUUAGGAAAGAAAAGCAGCGGGAGAAACCCCGGCUGUUUUGACGGUACCCAAAGAGUAAGCACCGGCUAACUUCGUG